rnacentral:rRNA from 1 species
GAUGAACGCUGACAGAAUGCUUAACACAUGCAAGUCAACUUGAAUCUGGGUUUUUUAACUUAGAUUUGGGUGGCGGACGGGUGAGUAACGCGUAAAGAACUUGCCUCACAGCUAGGGACAACAUUUGGAAACGAAUGCUAAUACCUGAUAUUAUGAUUAUAAGGCAUCUUAGAAUUAUGAAAGCUAUAUGCGCUGUGAGAGAGCUUUGCGUCCCAUUAGCUAGUUGGAGAGGUAACGGCUCACCAAGGCGAUGAUGGGUAGCCGGCCUGAGAGGGUGAACGGCCACAAGGGGACUGAGACACGGCCCUUGCGCCUACGGGAGGCAGCAGUGGGGAAUAUUGGACAAUGGACCAAGAGUCUGAUCCAGCAAUUCUGUGUGCACGAUGACGUUUUUCGGAAUGUAAAGUGCUUUCAGUUGGGAAGAAAAAAAUGACGGUACCAACAGAAGAAGUGACGGCUAAAUACGUG